GCUCCCGUAGUAUAGUCCGGCAAGUAUGCGGGCUUCUCGAGCCUGAGACAGGGGUUCAAAUCCCCUCGGGAGCG
rnacentral:tRNA from 1 species